rnacentral:rRNA from 1 species
ACGUAGGGUGCAAGCGUUAAUCGGAAUUACUGGGCGUAAAGCGUGCGCAGGCGGUUUCGUAAGUCUGUCGUGAAAUCCCCGGGCUUAACCUGGGAAUUGCAUUUGUGACUGCAUGGCUAGAGUGUGUCAGAGGGGGGUAGAAUUCUACGUGUAGCAGUGAAAUGCGUAGAUAUGUGGAGGAAUACCGAUGGCGAAGGCAGCCCCCUGGGAUAACACUGACGC